ACGAACGCUGGCGGCGUGCCUAAUACAUGCAAGUCGAGCGGACCAACUUAAGAGCUUGCUCUUAUGAGGUUAGCGGCGGACGGGUGAGUAACACGUGGGCAACCUGCCCUGUAGACUGGGAUAACAUCGAGAAAUCGGUGCUAAUACCGGAUAAUUGUUGGAACUGCAUAGUUCUAACUUAAAAGAUGGCUCCGGCUAUCACUAUAGGAUGGGCCCGCGGCGCAUUAGCUAGUUGGUAAGGUAAUGGCUUACCAAGGCGACGAUGCGUAGCCGACCUGAGAGGGUGAUCGGCCACACUGGGACUGAGGCACGGCCCAGACUCCUACGGGAGGCAGCAGUAGGGAAUCUUCCGCAAUGGACGAAAGUCUGACGGAGCAACGCCGCGUGAGUGAUGAAGGUUUUCGGAUCGUAAAGCUCUGUUGUUAGGGAAGAACAAGUGCCGUUCGAAUAGGGCGGCACCUUGACGGUACCUAACCAGAAAGCCACGGCUAACUACGUG
rnacentral:rRNA from 1 species